rnacentral:rRNA from 1 species
GACGAACGCUGGCGGCGUGCUUAACACAUGCAAGUCAAGGACCGUAGCAAUACGGGACUGGCGCACGGGUGCGGAACACGUAGGCAAUCUGCCCUCCAGGGAGAACAACCAGCCGAAAGGUUAGGCUAAAUACUCCGUAAAUACAUAGAGUGGCAUCACUUAUUGAUCAAGUUUUCUGAAGGAUGAGCCUGCGUCUGAUUAGCUAGUUGG